rnacentral:lncRNA from 1 species
AGGAUUAGUCAUAUUGUUCUCAGCACAGAAAUCAGCAGAGUAUAUAUCACAAUCAUCAGAGUAACAUCCAGAAGGAGAAUCAUAAACAUAGGCACUGACAGAAUAAGCAUUACUCACAUAACCAAAAUAGGUAGACAUGUAGAGGGGGGGGGGGAGAAGAAUGCAAUGACAAUAUGCAACUAAAGCUAUCUAAAUGCAACACAUGAUGACACACACAAAACAGAACAUUACACUCACAACACAAGACAAGACAACACACACUAACACAACAAAGACCUAAAACUGAACCGUUGGUCCCCGGCAACGGCGCCAAAAUUUGAUGGGUGUCGCAGCCCAUACAAAUUUAAUUGCAUAUAAGAAUGCAGUAUAACUAGGAAGUGACUCCUAGGUCGUCUCUCAAGGACCAAACUGCGGUUCAGGAAUUAGGUCUAACACGUAGUGGGGGGGGGGUUUGAAAGUGUUGGUGAAUGCAAUUAGACUAAAUUAAAAAUAAAAAUUAAACUUAUCCGAACAUCAUUGAAAGCAUUAAAGAGAGUGAAAAUGCUAAACCUAACACUGUAAUAAACAAACAUCUAGCACAAUUAAAAUUAGUAAAAUGCAAAACUAAAUUAAAAGACGAAAAAUAACUCAACCUACUAUGUAAAAUAAUUUAAAGCUAAAUAAAUAAACAACAUAAUUGAAAACCCCAAAAGUAUUCCAUCACCGUGUGCUUCUCCACACG